AGUAGAACGGAUAAUCGCAGAUGCCAUUAAAAAGGCAUAUGAGGAAAGUCCGGGCUUCGCAGGGCAGGAUGCCGGAUAACGUCCGGUGGAGGCGACUCCAAGGAAGUGCAACAGAGAUAUACCGCCACUUUUGAGUGGUAAGGGUGGAAAGGCAGUGUAAGAGACUACCGCCGCAGUGGUAACAAUGCGGGCACAUGUAAACCCCAUCCGAAGCAAGGUCGAGCAGAGAAUAAAUGGCGGCCCGUCGUGUUCUCGGGUAGACCGCUUGAGCCUGAUGGCAACGUCAGGUCUAGACAGAUGAUUAUCUAAGACAUAACCCGGCUUACAGUUCUGCUCAA
rnacentral:RNase_P_RNA from 1 species